GUGUGCCUACGGGACGCAGCAGUGAGGAAUAUUGGUCAAUGGCCGAGAGGCUGAACCAGCCACGUCGCGUGAGGGAAGACGGCCCUACGGGUUGUAAACCUCUUUUGUCGGGGAGCAAAGAGAGUCACGUGUGACUCAUUGAGAGUACCCGAAGAAAAAGCAUCGACUAACUCCGUGCCAGCAGCCGCGGUAAUACGGAGGAUGCGAGCGUUAUCCGGAUUUAUUGGGUUUAAAGGGUGCGCAGGCGGAUUUUUAAGUCAGCGGUCAAAUCGUGGGGCUCAACCCCAUCCAGCCGUUGAAACUGG
rnacentral:rRNA from 1 species